GGCGCUAUAGUGUAGUGGUUAUCACUCGGGAUUCUGAUCUAAUCGUCCGAUUUCCCGAAACCCAGGUUCGAACCCUGGUAGCGCCU
rnacentral:tRNA from 2 species